UAGCUUAUCACACUGAUGUUGAC
rnacentral:piRNA from 1 species